rnacentral:rRNA from 1 species
GAGGGGGGUUGUCCGGAUUACUGGGUGUAAGGGCGUGUAGGCGGGAGCAUGUGUCAGAAGUGAAAUCGCGCGGCUUAACCGUGUCAAUGGCUUCUGAAACUGUGCUUCUUGAAUGCAGGAGAGGCAGAUGGAAUUCCAGGUGUAGCGGUGGAAUGCGUAGAUAUCUGGAAGAACACCGGUGGCGAAGGCGGUCUGCUGGCCUGUGAUUGACGCUGAGGCGCGAAAGUGUGGGGAGCAAACAGGAUUAGAUACCCUGGUAGUCCACACCAUAAACGAUGGUUACUAGUUGUCGGAGGAUUCGACCCCUUCGGUAACGACGCUAACGCAUUAAGUAACCCACCUGGGGAGUACGCUCGCAAGGGUGAAACUCAAAGGAAUUGACGGGGGCCCGCACAAGCGGUGGAGCAUGUGGUUUAAUUCGAUGCAACGCGAAGAACCUUACCUGGGCUCGAAGUGCCGUGUAAACCCAUGAAAGUGGGCUACCCUCGCAAGAGGGACGCGGUAUAGGUGCUGCAUGGCUGUCGUCAGCUCGUGUCGUGAGAUGUUAGGUUAAGUCCUGCAACGAGCGCAACCCUUGUCCUUAGUUGCUAACAGGUAAUGCUGAGAACUCUAAGGAGACUGCCGACGUUAAGUCGGAGGAAGGUGGGGAUGACGUCAAGUCCUCAUGGCCCUUACGUCCAGGGCUACACACGUGCUACAAUGGCCGGUACAGGGCGUCGCAAGACCGCAAGGUGGAGCUAAUCGCAAAAAACCGGUCUCAGUUCAGAUUGCACUCUGCAACUCGAGUGCAUGAAGUCGGAAUCGCUAGUAAACGCGGAUCAGCAGGUCGCGUUGAAUACGUUCCCGGGCCUUGUACACACCGCCCGUCACACCAUGGGAGUCGGAAGGACCCAAAGGGCCUGUGCCAACCGCAAGGAGGCAGGGUCUCAAGGUCAGGCCGAUGACUGGGGUGAAGUCGUAACAAGGUAAC